UAAUACAGAGACUGCAAGCGUUAUUCGGAUUCACUGGGCGUAAAGGGUGCGCAGGCGGCCAAGUGUGUGAGGCGUGAAAGCCUGGAGCUUAACUCCAGAAUUGCACCUCAAACUACAUGGCUAGAGCAUUGGAGAGGGUAGCAGAAUUCACGGUGUAGCAGUGAAAUGCGUAGAUAUCGUGAGGAAUACCAGAGGCGAAGGCGGCUACCUGGACAAUUGCUGACGCUCAGGCACGAAAGCGUGGGGAGCAAAAGG
rnacentral:rRNA from 1 species